UACGGAGGGGCUAGCGUUGUUCGGAAUUACUGGGCGUAAAGGGCGCGUAGGCGGUGCUCUAAGUCGGAUGUGAAAACUCUGGGCUCAACCCAGAGCCUGCAUCCGAAACUGGAGUGCUAGAGUUCUGGAGGGGGUAGCGGAAUUCCUGGUGUAGCGGUGAAAUGCGUAGAUAUCAGGAGGAACACCGGUGGCGAAGGCGGCUACCUGGACAGAAACUGACGCUGAGGCGCGAAAGCUAGGGGAGCAAACAGG
rnacentral:rRNA from 1 species